rnacentral:tRNA from 1 species
GUGGCCGAAUGGUUAAGCUGUCCGCUUAGUAAGCGGAAGACCAUGGGUUCGAUUUCCAUC